CAUCACUGGCUGGAACCUUCAAGGUUGCAAUCAUUCUUGUCUCCCUGCCGGGCGGAACGUUGGUGUGGCGUUCCCUGCAGAGUUUAAAAGGCAGGGAAGAAGAGCUUACAAGCCCCGUGGGGCCAGGGGCCACGUCUAUCUUGGUCUCCUCCGUAGCCAUAGUUCUCGCUACAAUGUCCAGCAUUUAGUGAUGUAAUAUUUAAUAAACAUAGGCGCCUUACCCAGCAAGGAGAGGACUACGGACAUGUCACAGAGUAUCAAGAAGGGGCCCGGGCGAGUGUUCCGGAUUACCACAAAGACCUCAGUGUGCCGUGAGUUAAGAUGGAGCCUGCAUUUUCAACAUUUGCAACAGAUGGAAGAGAGCUUGUGUGGCCAACAGGCCGGAGGCACACGGCACACGGAGCCGGGCUCUGCCAUCGAUUCGUCGUGUCUGUUAGGAGCGGCCUUCUCCCCCUCCGGCUGAUUUCGGGCAUGUGGGAAUACUGCAAGGCAUGGCCAGACCUUCUGAUUUUAAAAGAUAAGGAAACCGAGGUUCAAGGCCACAUACCUAGGCCUACACUGGCUGCAUGGUCCACAAGUACGGUCUUAGGAGUUUUGCGCUUUGGAAUUUAGCCUGCAGCAGAGAUGAAGAGGAGGAAGAAGACCCACCUAAAAGAGUUCUUCAGCUUCAGAAAGUUUGAAAAGCAUAAUUACAUUGAGACUCUGUUAGGGGUGGGCGUGUAGUCAAGAUCUCCUAGAAGACGGCUAGAAACCUAAGGCCUUCAAGAAGUAGAUGUGUUCCUCCCCUUCUCGGUCUCCCUCCGCCGGCUGGGCGCAGAAGACAGUGAGGCCCCAGGGGAUAAAUGAGCCACAAGAUGGAAGGAGGUUGGGUCCAUGAAUCAGCUCAUGGAAGAAGGUCACUUACCAACCCGAAACAUGUGCCUUGGUUUGUGAGAAAUAAAUGAGCCAUUGUAUGUUUGGGUUCUCAUUGUUCCAGCAGCCAACGGCAUCCUAACUAAUAAAUCUGGCUUGCUCAUCAUCUGUUUCUGCCCACCAGCUCGUUUUAAUCUGUUUUCUCUCCGUUCUGCAUUACCUUGGAGAAGCAGGCUCUUUUAUGGCCAGGGCCUCCAGUUUUUCUCCUCUUCUCCCCAACUGUGGGCGAACACUUUCCAUGCAGCCACCUCGAGUCAAUCUGCACGCUUCACGUAGGAACUUGUCCAGAGGAAGUCCCCAACUAAUCUGUCCUCUUCCUGCUCUGUGGGGCAGAGCUGAGCCUCAGAGAUCAGCCAGCAUGCUUCCUGAGCCUCUCUCUUUACUUAUGUGUGUCCCUUCUCGAAAGCUUUAAAUGACAUUAAUGAGGUGCCUGGGUGGCUCAGUCAGUUAAGCCUCCGACUUCGGCUCAGGUCACGAUCUUACAGUUCAUGAGUUCGAGCCCUGCA